CAAAUUUCAGGCCUAGUUGAGAAGAGGGUUCAGAGGAGACUGACUAAAGUUUGGUUGACGACGGAGUCCUUGUCACAGCAAAGAAUCAUCCUGCCCUUGUCUAUUCUUGGGUAAAACCCACCCCAGCCUUCCUCAUGGCUCCUUUUUGGUGCUGUGUUUCAGGCAGGAGCAGAAUCCUCACCUUUGGAACCCUGUUCACUCCACCCAGGUAGAGGAGCGUCUCCCCAUAGCCACCACCGCAAAAGGCCCAUGGGCAGUACUGUCAGCUUAUCACCAAUGUUCACUGAAGGCCCAAGGACUCUUCAAUCAGCUUGUGGUGAAUGCUGCCAGGCCUGGGACUCACCCUUCAGGUC
rnacentral:lncRNA from 10 species